rnacentral:lncRNA from 1 species
CUACACACAAUCGGGACCCUGUUAGCAUGUAGGACCAAGGCGGCUUCCUACACAUCUGGCUGAGGCCGGCUGAAUCACUUCCCCUGGGAGGGUGGCCUCCAGCUCUGUGACAUCUGGCGGGUGGCAGGAAGUGUCUGGAUUCAUCCCAGAGUGAUUUUUAUCUCCACAUGCUUUUCCAAUUUCAUCAGGGCCUCCAUGCUACAUUCCGAAUGACAUGUCCACAUUUGCCACGGACAAGAAUGACAGAUGGAGAAAAAUCAUCUUUGACCCUUAAAAGUCAGUCGGUCAUGUUUUAUGAGUUAUCCUUCAUUCCAGGAUACUCUUCCAGUAAAACAAGAUCUAAAAAGGCCAAAGGCUUCAGGAAUCAUUUAAUCAGCACUUUCGAUGAAUUUCCUACAAUUAUCUCAACUCUACUAUUUCUUUGUGUCAGCUCUGUUCCCAAAUUAUUUUUCUUCAUUGUUCACAAGAUAACUGCCAACAACCACUAGGAUCAUUUUUUCUUACUUCACACCUAUGGAGAAAGAAGAACUCCACCCAUGAAACAUAAGUCUUGGGGUUUCAGUUGAUUGGACCACCUGGAACCAAUUCCAGAGCCCAGGAAGAUACCUUUGUGCUGGCUGAUUGGUUUAGACAUGGGUUACCUGAGACAAUCAUCUGCAGGAUUAGUAUAGAAUGACCAACCAGAGGACCUGGGGUGAGGGAAAGAAUAAAAUACAGGACACAGAGGCAAUCACAGCAGAGUGUCUGCUACAGUCCUUUUUCAUGCAUAGAUUCUAGGUUGCUAAUUAAGUUUUCCUCAGUGUCAGAGAUAAGCUCUGUUAAGAGGAAUCUAUUUCCUCUAAGAAUGCCAAGACAGACAUUUAAAGAUGGUUUUAUUUUAUAAAAAGCAUAACAAAAAUGGUGACUCUAAGCUUUUUCUCCAUAGUUUUCUUCCUAAGAAUAUACUACAACCAGGCCAGGGAUGCAGUUCAGUAGCACCACACCUGCCUCAUAAGCACAAGGUCCUGAGUUCGAUCCCCAGAACAACAACAAUAUAUAUAUAUAUACAUGUAUAUCAACCCCCAAAGAAAUGUUUGAUAUGAGUAAUUGAGAAUGAUUUAAAAUUUGUCUUAUAGCUCAACUUCCCUAAUCCUUUCUUUCCAAUUUGUAAAAGCGGUGUAACUUCAUUUGGAAUUCUGUUAUGGAAACCCAAAUAUCUUCCCCUCCACACUGAAUGAUGGAUCAUUAAACCUGUGGAAGACACUGUGUUCCAAGAAGGUGUCUGAAAUAAUGUUCCUUAAGAGUUUUCUCAUGCAUGUCCACAGGCCUCCCAAAACCUGUCAAAGAAGCACUUGUCCUGUCUUUAUAAAACACCCUAAAUUCAUCCACUCAAUCUGGAAAGUGCCAGGCUAAGGGAUUCCAGCAAGUAAGUAUUUCUUCCACGAGUUAAUUAGAAAUAGAGCUCCUUGAGUUUAGAGGUGUAAUUGUAGAAG